rnacentral:rRNA from 1 species
UACAGAGGGUGCGAGCGUUAAUCGGAAUUACUGGGCGUAAAGCGUGCGUAGACGGUGGCGUAAGUCGGGUGUGAAAGCCCUGGGCUCAACCCAGGAAGUGCACUCGAAACUGGCGGGCUUGAAUAUGGAAGAGGGUCGCGGAAUUCCCGGUGUAGAGGUGAAAUUCGUAGAUAUCGGGAGGAACACCAGUGGCGAAGGCGGCGACCUGGGCCAAUAUUGACGCUGAGGUGCGAAAGCGCGGGGAGCAAACAGG